UGCGUAGGCGGUGCGGAAAGUCGGGUGUGAAAUCCCCCAGCUCAACUGGGGAAUUGCGCCUGAAACUGCCGUGCUCGAGGAAGACAGAGGUACGCGGAACUUAGGGUGGAGCGGUGAAAUGCGUUGAUAUCCUAAGGAACACCGGUGGCGAAAGCGGCGUACUGGGUCUUAUCUGACGCUGAGGCACGAAAGCUAGGGUAGCAACG
rnacentral:rRNA from 1 species